rnacentral:lncRNA from 1 species
GCGGACGCGGCCUCCUUACCUCAUUUGUCCUCGCCCCUCCCCGUCCCUCUACGCGUUUUGGUCCCUGUUUGGUGCUUUCUGUUUGCAGCUACGGCAGUGAGUAUAUCUGGGCAUAGGAACCAAUCAGAAACAAUCGCUUCAGCAAUCAAGACCAUUGUUCAUCAUGGAGGAACCCAUGGAUACCUCUGAGCCUCUAUCUGCAUUACCAUUCACUGGGCAGCAGUCUUUUGAGCCAAGUGGCAAAUUUGGACAGUAUCCAUCGAUGCAGAUGAACCACAUCCAGGCACUGGGGAAGUGGAGGACAUAGAACA